rnacentral:rRNA from 1 species
UCAGGCGUAACCCAUGCAAGUUGAUCGAAGCCUUCGGGCUUAGUGGCGCUCGGGUGCGUCACGCGUGGGUAUCUACCAUUGGGUACGGAAUAACAGUGAGAAAUUAUUGCUAAUACCGUAUGAUGUCUUCGGACCAAAGAUUUAUCGCUCCAGGUAUGAGCCCGCGUAGGAUUAGCUAGUUGGUGAGGUAAAGGCUCACCAAGGCGACGAUCUUUAGGUGGUAUGAGAGGAUGAUCAGCCACACUGGGAGUGAGACGCGGCCCAGACUCCUACGGGAGGUAGCAGUGGG